GAUGAAGAACGUAGCGAAAUGCGAUAAGUAGUGUGAAUUGCAGAAUUCAGUGAAUCAUCGAAUCUUUGAACGCACAUUGCGCCCCUUGGUAUUCCAUGGGGCAUGCCUGUUCGAGCGUCAUUUGUACCUUCAAGCUCUGCUUGGUGUUGGGUGUUUGUCUCGCCUCUGCGUGUAGACUCGCCUCUAAACAAUUGGCAGCCGGCGUAUUGAUUUCGGAGCGCAGUACAUCUCGCGCUUUGCACUCAUAACGACGACGUCCAAAAGUACAUUUUUACACUCUUGACCUCGGAUCAGGUAGGGAUACCCGCUGAACUUAAGCAUAUCAAUAAGCGGAGGA
rnacentral:misc_RNA from 1 species